rnacentral:rRNA from 1 species
UACAGAGGUCCCAAGCGUUGUUCGGAUUCACUGGGCGUAAAGGGUGCGUAGGUGGCCGGGUAAGUCUGACGUGAAAUCUCCGAGCCUAACUCGGAAACUGCAUCGGAUACUAUCCGGCUUGAGGGUUGGAGGGGGGACUGGAAUACUUGGUGUAGCAGUGAAAUGCGUAGAUAUCAAGUGGAACACCAGUGGCGAAGGCGAGUCCCUGGACAAUUCCUGACACUGAGGCACGAAAGCCAGGGGAGCAAACGGG